rnacentral:rRNA from 1 species
AUUGAACGCUGGCGGCAGGCCUAACACAUGCAAGUCGAGCGGGAACUUCGGUUCUAGCGGCGGACGGGUGAGUAAUGCGUAGGAAGCUACCCGACAGAGGGGGAUACCAGUUGGGAACGACUGUUAAUACCGCAUAAUGUCUACGGACCAAAGUGUGGGACCUUCGGGCCACAUGCUGUCGGAUGCGCCUACGUGGGAUUAGCUAGUUGGUGAGGUAAUGGCUCACCAAGGCGACGAUCCCUAGCUGGUUUGAGAGGAUGAUCAGCCACACUGGAACUGAGACACGGUCCAGACUCCUACGGGAGGCAGCAGUGGGGAAUAUUGGACAAUGGGCGCAAGCCUGAUCCAGCCAUGCCGCGUGUGUGAAGAAGGCCUUCGGGUUGUAAAGCACCUUCAGUAGGGAGGAAGAGUUGAGUGUUAAUAGUACUCAGCUUUGACGUUACCUACAGAAGAAGCACCGGCUAGCUCUGUGCCAGCCGCCGCUGUAAUAC